rnacentral:rRNA from 1 species
ACUCAAAGGAAUUGACGGGGACCCGCACAAGCAGCGGAGCGUGUGGUUUAAUUCGAGGCUACGCGAAGAACCUUACCAGGGAUUGACAUGACGGUAGUAGUGAAGCGAAAGCGGAACGACCCUUCGGGGAGCCGUCACAGGUGAUGCAUGGCUGUCGUCAGCUCGUGCCGUGAGGUGUUUGGUUAAGUCCACUAACGAGCGCAACCCUUAGCCCCAGUUAUACGUGUCUGGUGCGACUGCCGGUAUUAAGCCGGAGGAAGGUGGGGAUGACGUCAAGUCAGCAUGUCCUUUAUACCCUGGGCGACACACACGCUACAAUGGCCAGUACAAUGGGUUGCCAAGCCGCGAGGCGGAGCCAAUCCUAAAAAGCUGGUCUCAGUUCGGAUUGCAGGCUGCAACCCGCCUGCAUGAAGUCGGAGUUGCUAGUAACCGCAGGACAGCUAUACUGCGGUGAAUACGUUCCCGGGUCUUGUACACACCGCCCGU